AACGAACGCUGGCGGCAGGCCUAACACAUGCAAGUCGAACGCACCGCAAGGUGAGUGGCGCACGGGUGAGUAACACGUGGGAAUGUACCCUUUGGUUCGGAAUAACGUUUGGAAACGAACGCUAAUACCGGAUGAGCCCUGUGGGGGAAAGAUUUAUCGCCAAAGGAGCAGCCCGCGUCUGAUUAGCUAGUUGGUGGGGUAAAGGCCUACCAAGGCGACGAUCAGUAGCUGGUCUGAGAGGAUGAUCAGCCACACUGGGACUGAGACACGGCCCAGACUCCUACGGGAGGCAGCAGUGGGGAAUAUUGGACAAUGGGCGGAAGCCUGAUCCAGCCAUGCCGCGUGAGUGAUGAAGGCCUUCGGGUUGUAAAGCUCUUUCGACGGGGAAGAGUAAUGACGGUACCCGUAGAAGAAGACUCCGGCUAACUUCGUGCCAGCAGCCGCGGUAAU
rnacentral:rRNA from 1 species